GCCCGGAUAGCUCAGUCGGUAGAGGCGGGGAUUGAAAAUCCCCGUGUCCUUGGUUCGAUGCCCAGUCCGGGCACCA
rnacentral:tRNA from 1 species